rnacentral:rRNA from 1 species
CAAUAGCGUAUAUUUAAGUUGUUGCAGUUAAAAAGCUCGUAGUUGGAUUUUGGGUCGGGGGCACCGGUCCGCCGUUCCGGUGUGCACUGGUGGCCCCUUCCUUUCUGCCGGGGACGUGCGUCGCACUUAAUUGGGUGGCGUUCGGAGUCGGCGUUGUUACUUUGAAAAAAUUAGAGUGUUCAAAGCAAGCCAUCGCUCUGAAUACAUUAGCAUGGAAUAACAUGAUAGGACUCCGGUCUUAUUUUGUUGGUUUCCGAGACUGGAGUAAUGAUUAAGAGGGACAGUCGGGGGCAUCCGUAUUUCAUUGUCAGAGGUGAAAUUCUUGGAUUUAUGAAAGACGAACUUCUGCGAAAGCAUUUGCCGAGGAUGUUUUCAUUAA